rnacentral:rRNA from 1 species
UUGAAAGAUGGCUUUGGCUAUCACUCUGGGAUGGACCUGCGGUGCAUUAGCUAGUUGGUAAGGUAACGGCUUACCAAGGCGAUGAUGCAUAGCCGAGUUGAGAGACUGAUCGGCCACAAUGGAACUGAGACACGGUCCAUACUCCUACGGGAGGCAGCAGUAGGGAAUCUUCCACAAUGGGCGCAAGCCUGAUGGAGCAACACCGCGUGAGUGAAGAAGGGUUUCGGCUCGUAAAGCUCUGUUGUUGGAGAAGAACGUGCGUGAGAGUAACUGUUCACGCAGUGACGGUAUCCAACCAGAAAGUCACGGCUAACUACGUGCCAGCAGCCGCGGUAAUACGUAGGUGGCAAGCGUUAUCCGGAUUUAUUGGGCGUAAAGCGAGCGCAGGCGGUU